CUUCAGCGGGCCCAGGAAAUGGUCAGUUGAGCACGUCUGCCCGACCUGGGGUGGUGAAGCCAGGCUGUCAGCAAAAGGGAGCAGCUGGUGAAGAACUUCCUAUCUUAUUAAUUUUUCCCUCCUCAGUCUCCCUCCCGGCUAGGAGGGUGUGUGCCAGUUUGCAGGUGGGGAGGAGACGCAUGGACUGACUGUCCCCUCUUUGGAGGGCAGACAGCCCACUGGUGAGCAGACUUCAGUGGGGAACACUGGAGAGCUCUUACCUGAACCGGCAUUAAUAUCUGGCUUGAUGCUUUUCAUAUCUGCACUGACAAUGUAUCUUGUGACUUAAACUGACUGUAGGGUUGUGUGUGAUCUUAGAACAAGCAGAAAGGUCAUGGGCACUGCAGUGGUUUGCCAAGCCUGAUUUCGGGACCAGCAGCAUCAGUACGACCUGGGAACAUACGGGAAAUUCAUGUUCUCAGGCUCCACCCCAGACCCCACAUCAGAAACUGUGGAGUGGGGCCACCAGGUCCUGCAGGUGAUGCUGACGAGCACUGAGGUUGGAGAAACUCUGAGCGGGAGGAGGAGGUCAGCUCUGGCCUUAUGAUUAGAAUGGGACAUAGGAAAAGGGUAGGGAAAUGCACUGUAUGCUUCAUGAUAUAACCAUUCAGGGUUAUACGAGGAAAUGAAAAAGAUUUCUCAUGAUGAACCUGGGCUGUCAAACCCUCUGUCUUGCCAGGACAUCGGCCUGAACUGCCCGGGUGGGAACAUCCAGGCUGAGGCAGUCGGAUAACUGUAUGAGCCUGACAGGCUGUGGAGCCACGCUGAAACUGCAGCCACAGUCAGAAUCCUCCCCGGACCCACCCCGCCUGUCCAUGGGCCUCAGAUCCUCCCUGGACCCGCCCUGCCUGUCCAUGGGCCCUCGGAGUCCUCCCCAGACUGCUCCGAAUGUCCAUCACUCAGACUGUCACACGAGGCCUGGCAGGGUGGCCCAGCAUAUCCUCGUUUGGCACAUUCUGUA
rnacentral:lncRNA from 1 species